GACGAACGCUGGCGGCGUGCUUAACACAUGCAAGUCGAACGGUAAGGCUCCAGCUUGCUGGGGUACACGAGUGGCGAACGGGUGGGUAACACGUGGGUGACCUGCCCUGCACUUCGGGAUAAGCCUGGGAAACUGGGUCUAAUACCGGAUAGGACCGCACCGUGAGGGUGUGGUGGAAAGUUUUUUCGGUGUGGGAUGGGCCCGCGGCCUAUCAGCUUGUUGGUGGGGUAAUGGCCUACCAAGGCGGCGACGGGUAGCCGGCCUGAGAGGGUGGACGGCCACAUUGGGACUGAGACACGGCCCAGACUCCUACGGGAGGCAGCAGUGGGGAAUAUUGCACAAUGGGCGGAAGCCUGAUGCAGCGACGCCGCGUGGGGGAUGACGGCCUUCGGGUUGUAAACUCCUUUCACCAUCGACGAAGGGUUUCUGACGGUAGAUGGAGAAGAAGCACCGGCUAACUACGUGCCAGCAGCCGCGGUAAUACGUAGGGUGCGAGCGUUGUCCGGAAUUACUGGGCGUAAAGAGCUCGUAGGUGGUUUGUCGCGUCGUCUGUGAAAUUCCGGGGCUUAACUCCGGGCGUGCAGGCGAUACGGGCAUAACUUGAGUACUGUAGGGGAGACUGGAAUUCCUGGUGUAGCGGUGAAAUGCGCAGAUAUCAGGAGGAACACCGGCGGCGAAGGCGGGUCUCUGGGCAGUAACUGACGCUGAGGAGCGAAAGCAUGGGGAGCGAACAGGAUUAGAUACCCUGGUAGUCCAUGCCGUAAACGGUGGGCGCUAGGUGUGGGUUUCCUUCCACGGGAUCCGUGCCGUAGCUAACGCAUUAAGCGCCCCGCCUGGGGAGUACGGCCGCAAGGCUAAAACUCAAAGGAAUUGACGGGGGCCCGCACAAGCGGCGGAGCAUGUGGAUUAAUUCGAUGCAACGCGAAGAACCUUACCUGGGCUUGACAUAUACAGGAUCGCGCCAGAGAUGGUGUUUCCCUUGUGGCUUGUAUACAGGUGGUGCAUGGUUGUCGUCAGCUCGUGUCGUGAGAUGUUGGGUUAAGUCCCGCAACGAGCGCAACCCUUGUCUUAUGUUGCCAGCACGUUGUGGUGGGGACUCGUAAGAAACUGCCGGGGUUAACUCGGAGGAAGGUGGGGAUGACGUCAAAUCAUCAUGCCCCUUAUGUCCAGGGCUUCACACAUGCUACAAUGGUCGGUACAGUGGGUUGCCAGUCCGUGAGGGCGAGCUAAUCCCGCAAAGCCGGUCUCAGUUCGGAUCGGGGUCUGCAACUCGACCCCGUGAAGUCGGAGUCGCUAGUAAUCGCAGAUCAGCAACGCUGCGGUGAAUACGUUCCCGGGCCU
rnacentral:rRNA from 1 species